UCAGGCCUAACACAUGCAAGUCGAGCGAGGACUUCGGUCCUAGCGGCGGACGGGUGAGUAACGCGUGGGAACGUGCCCUUUGCUUCGGAAUAGCCCUGGGAAACUGGGAGUAAUACCGGAUGAGCCCUACGGGGGAAAGAUUUAUCGGCGAAGGAUCGGCCCGCGUUGGAUUAGGUAGUUGGUGGGGUAAUGGCCUACCAAGCCGACGAUCCAUAGCUGGUUUGAGAGGAUGAUCAGCCACACUGGGACUGAGACACGGCCCAGACUCCUACGGGAGGCAGCAGUGGGGAAUCUUAGACAGAUGGGGGAAACCCUGAUCUAGCCAUGCCGCGUGAGUAAAGGAGGCCUUAGGGUUGUAAAGCUCUUCAGCUGGAAGAUAAUG
rnacentral:rRNA from 1 species